rnacentral:rRNA from 1 species
CCUCCUUUUGUCCGCCGUUCUUACUAUUUUUCCCUUUUCUCUCUCCUGCCCCCGCCCCGUCGCGUGAAGGAUGACUGCCCUACGGGUUGUAAACUUCUUUUAUAAAGGAAUAAAGUGAGGCACGUGUGCCUUUUUGUAUGUACUUUAUGAAUAAGGAUCGGCUAACUCCGUGCCAGCAGCCGCGGUAAUACGGAGGAUCCGAGCGUUAUCCGGAUUUAUUGGGUGUAAAGGGUGCGUAGACGGAGAAGCAAGUUAGUUGUGAAAUCCCUCGGCUUAACUGAGGAACUGCAACUAAAACUACUUCCCUUGAGUACUGGAGAGGAAAGUGGAAUUCCUAGUGUAGCGGUGAAAUGCGUAGAUAUUAGGAGGAACACCAGUGGCGAAGGCGACUUUCUGGACAGUAACUGACGUUGAGGCACGAAAGUGUGGGGAGCAAACAGGAUUAGAUACCCGGGUAGUC